rnacentral:lncRNA from 1 species
CCCCUGCGGCUGGUACGCCGCUCAGGUUCGGCUUCUACCGGCGCUCGUGCCCCCCGGCGGAGCACCUCGUCAAGCUAGUCGUCGGCAAGGCGAUCCGGAACAACCCUGGCGUCGGCGCCGGCCUCAUCCGCAUGGCCUUCCACGACUGCUUCGUCCAGGGCUGUGACGGGUCCGUGCUGCUCGACCCGACGCCGGCGAACACGCGGCCGGAGAAGCUGGGCCCGCCCAACUUCCCCAGUCUGCGGGGCUUCGAGGUGAUCGACGCGGCCAAGGCGCUGCUCGAGAGGUACUGCCCCGGCGUCGUCUCCUGCGCCGACGUCGUCCAGUUCGCCGCCCGCGAUGCCGCUUUCUUCCUCAGCGGCUACAAGGUCAACUACAGGCUCCCCGCGGGGCGCUUCGACGGCAGCAUCUCCUUGGAGAACGAGACGCUCGCCUUCCUGCCACCGUCCUCCUUCAACCUCUCCGAGCUCGUCCAAAGCUUCGUCGCCAAGGGCCUCGACGUCGACGACCUCGUCGUGCUCUCCGGGUCCCACUCCAUCGGCCGCUCCCACUGCUCCUCCUUCUCCGACCGUAUCUCCACGCCGCCCUCCGACAUGGACCCCGGCCUCGCCACCAUCCUCAAGGGGCAGUGCCCGGCGAACCCUAACAUCACCAACGACCCCACGGUGGUGCAGGACAUUGUCACCCCCAACAGGCUCGACAACCAGUACUACAGGAACGUGCUGAGGCGCAAGGUGCUCUUCAACUCCGACGCGACCCUGCUGACGUCGAGGGAGACGGCGAGGAAGGUGGUCGAGAACGCCGUCGUCCGCGGGAGCUGGGAGAGGAAGUUCGCCAGGGCCAUGGUGAAGAUGUCGCUCAUCGAGAUCAAGAACGCCGCCAAUGGCGAGAUCAGGAAGAACUGCCGUGUCGUCAACUAGCUACGACGACACAACGUUGCACGACGACUCCCACAAGUUACCACUUGCAGUUAAUAAUUAACCGCUCAUGUUGCAGCUAGCAUCUUUAUUUACAUUUGUUUCUUCAGACGCACGUUGUUUGAUUCUUUCUUUGCAUGCAUUCAGAUGAACAUUAGGAUGGUUUCUCCUUUUUGUGUUGCAAUUUCAAGAUGUUGUACUAUUGGAUUAGGGAUCAGUUGAUGCAAUAAAGCUCCGUUGUUUUUUUUGGCUGAACCUGAAUGUUCCCUUUUGAUAUUGUGAUUUUUUUAUGGGUGGAUUUUCCAAGACCUGCACACUAGCUAGUGAGUAGGGACCUUUGUAUUGCAAUUGCAAGAUGUUGUACCGAAUUAGAGAUCGGAUGAUGCAACAAACCUCCUUUCUCUUGGCUGAACCUGAAUGUUGCCUUUUUGAGAUUGUGAAUUUUGAUGUAGGGGUGGAUUUUCAAGACCUGCACGCUAGUUUGUCGUCAGUUGGAAUAACACAUGCUGAGAGGAUGACUCAAUUGCAAGCGACUCUAAUCCUCACUAAAAUUUAUGUGGCUGCCAACAAAUAGCAGUAGUAGUACGGGCAUCGUUUGGUGGGGCUUCAGAUUACCGAUACAAUUCACGCUAUAACUGGAAUCUGUAGGCUAAACAAAAUGAACUAGAUAGUACUCCUUCCGUUUUUAUUUAUAAGACGCACACGUAUAUCAAAAUACAAACUUUACAAUUUUUUAUCAAUAAUUUGACUAUUAAUUUUUUAUUUUAUAAUAUAAAUUUUAUACUCUACGGUGAUUAUAAGUUUACAACCAUAAAUAAUAUAAUAUAAAUAAUAUAAUAUAAGAUAAAAGAAUGAUCAAAGUGUUAUUUAGAGAAUCGUGUCAAGUCAUACCAUGCCAUGGAGGGAGUACUUUUUUAGUCUAGAGUGGAAACGAAAUAGCUCGUCCUUUUGUUUCUACAUCUCCAAUUCUACGAAUUUCUGGAGCUACAAAUACCUAGCUCCAAGAAUUAUGAAAGUUUGGAUAUAUGCCGCGCCAGAUAGGCCCAUAUUAUCCCAUAUAGUUCGCCUUCUUCCAAGCCACUUCCUUCAAUUAUAUCCAUCUAGCUAGGUUUCUCCUAAGUAAAAGUUUUUAACUUUGACCGUCAAUAUUUAUAGAUAUUUCCGUCAAAGUGUCAUAUAUUGAAAACAAUAUAUCGUGCCCUUUGUCCAUGUCCUUGUGAAAUAUGGGUUAAUUCAUUUUAAUGAGUUUCAAUUGUUGAGGUCACCAUCCUACUCAUUCUUGUCACCAGCACAAAUCGAACUGGUUUUUAUGUGCGCAUGUGUUGGUGUUAGUGUUUUAGGCCCUUGCACCACCCUCCUUCGCGUUGCUGUCCAUUAUUUGCCAACCAUGAUGACGAAUUUUGCAAACAUCCAAUCAACCCAAUAAAUGGAUGAGCUAGCAAUCCUACAUUAUUGGUGCCAACAUGAGCAUGUAGCUAACUGAAACCAUUUGAGUACUCUCGGCAAUAACUGAGCAUAAUCUGGGUAGGAAUUAUUGUUGGGAAUGUGCGCGACGUCCUGUCAGGAGAGUCGUAGGUUAAGCACCGCGGCAGAAUAGGAGCGCUCUCCACUUGGUGUCCACAAGGUGCCUAUCUGGUUUUGGUAUCCCACAAAGUCAGAGGGAUCGACCAAAUGCUGAGUUGUGUCAGGUUCCAAAAAAGAACUGCUGAGUUGUGUCAGCAUGUUACCAACGCGUGCAUCCCGGGAUGAGCUAUCGAACAUGCCCUUCAAGAUUUAAGACAAGAAGAGCCACCAACAUUCCUCUGUUGACUUCUUUGUGUAUAAAUGGACGUGCAGAUGAAGAAUUUGAAUCAGUGUCCAACUCAGACCACUGCAGCAGAAGAAGAUGGCCAGGCUUGGCGUCCUGAUCUUGGCUGCGCUGCUCGGCGCCGUCGCUGCCCAAGCGGCAGGGUCCUACGGCGGCGGCAAUUAUUCUCCGAGCCCAAGCCCGCCCGCCCAGACUCCUCCGCCGCCUCCUGCUCGUCCGCGGCUCAGGUUCGGGUUCUACAAGCACUCGUGCCCUCCCGCGGAGGUCAUAGUCAGGGACGCCGUCCGGAAUGCCCUCCUCGUCAACCCCGGCAUCGGCGCCGGCCUCAUCCGCAUGGCCUUCCACGACUGCUUCGUCCAGGGCUGCGACGGCUCCGUGCUGCUCGACCCGACGCCGGCGAACCCGCGCCCGGAGAAGCUCGGCCCGCCCAACUUCCCGAGCCUGCGUGGCUUCGAGGUCAUUGACGCCGCCAAGGCCGCGCUCGAGAGGUACUGCCCCGGCGUCGUCUCCUGCGCCGACGUCGUCCAGUACGCCGCCCGCGACGCCGCUUUCUUCCUCAGUGGAUUUAAAGUCGACUACAGGCUCCCCGCGGGGCGAUUUGACGGCAGCGUGUCGCUCGAGAGCGAGUCGCUCGCCUUCCUGCCCCCGCCAUUCUUCAACCUCUCGCAGCUCAUCACCAGCUUCCAAGUCAAGGGCAUGAACAUCGACGACCUCGUCGUGCUCUCCGGAUCCCACACCAUCGGCCGCUCCCACUGCUCCUCCUUCUCCGACCGCAUCUCCACGCCGCCCUCCGACAUGGACCCGGGCCUCGCCACCGCGCUCAAGCAGCAGUGCCCGGCGAACCCCAACUUCACCAACGAC